AACACUUCCUUAUUUACUUUCUCCACACAAGUCAUGCUUUUAUAGACUUCUAUCAUAUUCCCCCUUCACCGUCUCUUUCCCAAGAUCAAACAUCAGUUUU